rnacentral:rRNA from 1 species
UACGUAGGGGGCAAGCGUUAUUCGGAAUCAUUGGGCGCAAAGGGCGCGUAGGCGGCUUGGUAAGUCAAAGGUGAAAUCCCUCGGCCCAACCGAGGAACUGCCUUUGAUACUGCUUGGCUCGAGGCCGGGAGAGGGCAGCGGAAUUCCCAGUGUAGCGGUGAAAUGCGUAGAUAUUGGGAGGAACACCAGUGGCGAAGGCGGCUACCUGGACCGGUUCUGACGCUGAUGCGCGAAAGCGUGGGGAGCAAACAGG